rnacentral:lncRNA from 1 species
GUCCCAGAAGACUGGAUAAAGAGAUUCUUCUGCUACCUUGAAUAAGCAAGCUGCUGUAUUAUCGUGAGAGGGCCACAUGGCAAGAAACUCUAGGAGGUGGGAGCAGUCCCUGGUCAACAGCCAGCAAGAAAGCGGGGACCUCAGUCCUACAACCACAAGACACUGAAUUCUGCCAACAAACAUAUGAUCUUGGAUAAGGACCUGGAGACUCAGAUGAGAUCAUAGCCUUGGCCAACACCUCCAUCAAAGUCUUGUCAGAGGGGCUGGCGUGGUGGCACAGUGGUUAAGUUUGCACGUUCCAUUUCGGCAGCCCGGGGUUCGUCGGUUCGGAUCCUGGGCGCCGACAUGGCACCGCUCAUCAAGCCAUGCUGAGGCGGCAUCCCACAUAGCACAGCCAGAAGGACCUACAACUAAGAAUAUACAACUAUGUACCGGGUGGCUUUGGGGAGAAAAAAGAAAAAUAAAAUCUUUAAAAUCCUGCAAGCAACAUUCCCCAAACUCCCUUAUUAGCUGGCUUUCUGUUGGAUUCUGCUGACGGAAAGUAGUGAUGGAAGAUUUGAAGGCAGGGGAGAAGUCUUGUUUUUCACUUUUGGAGGAGGUCUCUGACAACACCACCAUCAGAGGAAUUAACUGAGGCUGGAGGCCUGCAGCUGGGUGAAAAUCAACCAGUCCCCUGGAGAUGGCAGUAGCAGGCAAGGAUGGAGAUCUUUUGCCAACCAGCCGCAGCCAGAACUGCCGGCUCCUGCUUCGGAUCUGAGUUUGUGCAGACAGGCAGCCAUGAUGGAUCCUUGUGGCUGCAGAGGGCUGAUUUUGCUGAUGGUUGUUGCAGCGAAAUUCCGUCUUCUCCCUGUCUGAAGUUUAGUUCUCAAGUGCUGCCUUAAGUCCUUUCUGAACAAAGUCUUGUAGAUUUCUACACACCCUGCCAGCUAGCGGACCUCAUGUUGGAGUUGAGUUCGUCAGAUUCCCCGGUUCCCAGCACACCGUCAUCUCCGGCUGUGCCAAGCUCUUCUCUUUUAUGCUUACUGGUUUGUCUGCUUAUUAUUUACCACUUUUUCACCCCUUAUCCCUGGUCUUCACUCCCUUCUCCUCUG